UGGCUCAGUGGUAGAGUGCUUGCCUUGCAUGCAUGAGGUCUUUGGUUCGAUUCCUCA
rnacentral:tRNA from 1 species